rnacentral:rRNA from 1 species
UAGCAAUACCAGCGGCGGACGGGUGAGUAACACGUAAGGAAUCUGCCCUAAGGUGGGGAAUAACUAUCCCAACGGAUAGCUAAUACCGCAUAAGGAUGGGAGUGGCAUCACUCCUUCUCGAAAGAUUUAUCGCCUUAGGAUGACCUUGCGGCCCAUUAGCUUGUUGGCGGUGUAACGGACCACCAAGGCUACGAUGGGUAUCCGGCCUGAGAGGGUGUACGGACACAUUGGGACUGAGAUACGGCCCAGACUCCUACGGGAGGCAGCAGUAGGGAAUUUUGCGCAAUGGAGGAAACUCUGACGCAGCAACGCCAUGUGUGGGAUGAAGCAUUUCGGUGUGUAAACCACUGUCAGCAGGGAAUAAAUGGUCUCUUCGGAGGCAGUUGAAUGUACCUGCAAAGGAAGCCCCGGCUAACUUCGUGCCAGCAGCCGCGGUAAUACGAGGGGGGCAAAUGUUGUUCGGAAUCACUGGGCGUAAAGGGAGCGUAGGCGGGCUCUUAAGUUAGGUGUUUAAUCCCGGGGCCCAACCCCGGACAGGCACCUAAAACUGGGAGUCUUGAAUAGUGGAGAGGACGGCGGAAUUGGGGGUGUAGCGGUGGAAUGCGUANAGAUCCCCAAGAACACCAGUUGCGAAGGCGGCCGUCUGGACACAUAUUGACGCUGAGGCUCGAAAGCAUGGGGAGCAAACAGGAUUAGAUACCCUGGUAGUCCAUGCCAUAAACGAUGAUUACUAGGUUUUGGGCCCGUCAACGGUCCAGAGCCGCAGCUAACGC